AGUGGCAGACGGGUGAGUAACAUGUGGGUAUCUACCCUUUGGCCUGGAAUAACACGAGGAAACUUGUGCUAAUACCGGAUAAGUCUUUACGGAGAAAGCUUUAUGCACCAUUGGAUGAGCCCGCACUUGAUUAGUUUGUUGGUAGGGUAAUGGCCUACCAAGACUAUGAUCAAUAGCUGAUUUGAGAGGAUGAUCAGCCACAUUGGGACUGAGACACGGCCCAAACUCCUACGGGAGGCAGCAGUGGGGAAUCUUGCACAAUGGAGGAAACUCUGAUGCAGCGAUGCUGCGUGAGUGAAGAAGGCCUUUGGGUUGUAAAGCUCUUUCGUCGGGGAAGAAAAUGACUGUACCCGAAUAAGAAGGUCCGGCUAACUUCGUGCCAGCAGCCGCGGUAAUACGAAGGGACCUAGCGUAGUUCGGAAUUACUGGGCUUAAAGAGUUCGUAGGUUGUUGAAAAAGUUGGUGGUGAAAUCCCAGAGCUUAACUCUGGAACUGCCAUCAAAACUUUUCAGCUAGAGUAUGAUAGAGGAAAGCAGAAUUUCUAGUGUAGAGGUGAAAUUCGUAGAUAUUAGAAAGAAUACCAAUUGCGAAGGCAGCUUUCUGGAUCAUUACUGACACUGAGGAACGAAAGCAUGGGUAGCGAAGGGGAUUAGAUACCCUCGUAGUCCAUGCCGA
rnacentral:rRNA from 1 species